CGCCCCACCACCCGGGCUGCCAGGCCGCACUCCAGGAGCACAGCUGCCCACUUCCAGCUUUUCCAUGGCCAUGACCCCAGCGUUCCCCCGAUCCCGAAGAGAUCCUACCUGGCGCUCCGUGGCAACCUCCGUGGAUUCGCAGGCUUCCACCUCGCCUAGAUUUCUCCUUGGAAGAAGGUACUGGAGACCCUCGUUCAACCCGUUAAGUGCCCUGCGGACUUUGGGGGGCAGACAUUUACUGAGAAGAUACCUGCCAACAAUUCAGGACAAGAGCAGUAGUCCUAAAUGCUGACUGGAACCUUGGAGCAGUKUGUGGGUAGAGCUUGUUAACUCUUACCUGUCCGGGGGCUUCAUCAGGGUGCUAUUUUUUGAAGGGCUUCAGUAUUUUCUCUGGGACUGCAGAUUGUCUGGGAACAAUCUUUCAAUGGGUGGAGAGCUCUUCCCCAGGUACCUUUACAGGAAGACCCUUCUCCCUGGAUUGCUGUUCACCAAGCCUCCUGCUGUGCUACAGGUGCUGAGGAUUGAAACCAGGGCCUCAGGCAUGCUCAGGGUGCACUCUGCCACUAAGCUAUACCACCAGUCUUCUGGAUUCAAGCUAGCUGUGAUGCCUAUGUUUGAGUCGGCCUUUGUCCCAGAAAGUUCAGGGGGACUUGGGUUGAAGCUCUGUGACGAAGACACCCUGCUGACACAUCUGUGUUAUGUGUGUUUAAUACUGUCUGCAUUGCAUUAGAGUGAAACAAGCACCAGGCUAUUAUUGUUCACAAUGUUUAAAAAGAAACCUUUACUAGGAAGACAUCUGAACACCCCUGGAGCCAAGAGAAGAGGCUGAGGCCAUGGACUUCCACAUGCCUGUACACAAAAUUAUGACUUACAUCCAUUUCAAGUUGUAAAUGCUAUCGUUUUGGGUCCCACCCCCCCUUUCUUCUCUGGGUUAAAAAGACCAUUGCCUACCCUGGCAGUGAAGCCCCAGAUCAGGAGAGGGCCUGGUCUGCUUAACCAUAUAGGAGUCAAAUGGCCCCGCUCCAUCCAUCUGUCCUCAGCAUUAAGGGGCAUUAUACUGGGGACGGUGGCUUCAGAAGAAGGCUGAACAUUACAUAGGCUUAAGUAACGACAAGUCCUUCUUGUUCAGCUGUUUGUCCACUUUCCAACCAAGGUAGAACAGRUCAUGUAGCCACCAAACCCAACAAAAAUAAGCAGCCCUGUCUUGUUUCCUCUGCAGUUCUUAUCAGUGCUUUGGAUGUAAAGAUUCCUCAUUAAAAAAAAAAAAAAAAUCCUCAUAACAUUGACUUUGGUAACAGGAGCUCGUGACAGAACGAAGAUGAGAAUGUGAAUGAGUGCUGCUGGGAAGCCAGCGUCCCUGCUCUGUCUUUCCAAGGCUGACAGCCACAUCCCCUCCCUCAGGGCUGCACUGCCUGUGAGUCAGCUGUGUGGCCAGGUCAGACCCUCAGGCCUGGCUGACUACAUUGAGGCCUGGGGGCUGAGGUAUGUGAAACUGAGCCAGUCCCUCGGCUUCUAGUAUCAGCUCUGUCCUGGGCAACUCGCUUUUCCUCUCUGUGUCUCAAUUUACUCAUCUUUAAAGUGAGCAAACUAGCACAGGGUUCAUGGGCUGACAAGAGGAACUUCCCCACAUCUAGAAUGGGCUGGUACCCACCUGAAGAGCACCCUCUAGGGGCCCAAAUUUUUUCCUCUUUUUCCCAGAGAAGGUAGUUGAGGCUUAGAGCCCAACUACUUGCCCAAGUCCUACAUCCUAACUCUCAUUCCUCUGUAGCCUCCUAUUUGCUGGGUCAGAUCCGAAGCAGCUCUGGAUGAACUGAGGCCUGGGCACGGGGGUGGGAGAGGGAGAUGUCCCCAGCUGCCAGUUUCUGUGAAGACUUCUUCAUGCCUGCACUUCUCCUCCCCACCUUAGCAUGAGUCAUGAGACGGUGAAAAGGCAUCAGCAUGCAGGGCUGCCUUUUUUGGCACCAGGUCCAUCCUCCUGGUGUCUCUGCAUAGGACCUCUUUGAGGACACAGGUGUAUCCCAGAGCUGAACUGGCAAAUCUUGUCACUGUGUACAAAUGGAAGCGCGCCAAAGAAUCUUCCUGGUGCCUGGUUAGCACGYGUAGGGCUUCUCCCCAUUGUGGGCCUGCAGUGGACACAGGCCU